GUGUGUGUGUGUGUGUGUGUGUGCACUGCAGUGUGAUGGAGGUUUUUGUACGAUGGUUUCAUUAGAAUGUAUCACUGUGGUGGACUUUUGGUGGAGGCACCAAACUCAUCGUGAACACGGGUCCCGCAGCUCCCUCCGUGUCUCUGCUCUCUCCGUCCCCUCUGCAGCUGUCUGAGGGAUCGGCCUCGCUGCUCUGCCUGCUGUCUGGCUACUCUCCACAGGGGGCGCUGGUUAGCUGGACAGUGGACGGCUCAGAGGUGAAGAACGGGGUUCUGACCAGCGCAGAAGAAGAGAAGAACGGCCGUUACAGCCGCAGCAGCACCCUGACCCUCAACAAAGACCUCUGGGAAAAGGGGGAGGAGUUCAGCUGUAAGGUCUCCCAUAACAACGUCAAUCAUCCAGUCACAUUCAGAAAGAGUCAGUGUGAAGGCUAGUGGAUCCAAGAUAGAGUUUAACAUAGAGCUGCUUCUGAUCCAUCUACAAUAGAGUUUCAAUUCUACACAAUGCUGACAUUUCUGUCUUUACUCUGUUCACUGUCCUGUUGCUCUUCCUGUAGUUUUUGCUGAAAUAAAUCUGAAUUUUGGA